rnacentral:lncRNA from 1 species
CUACUCGGGAGGCUGAGUUGGGAAGAACAUCUGAACCCAGGAAAUCGAGGCUGCAGUGAGCCACGAUCACACCAUGCCACGGCACUCCAGCCUGGGCAACAGGAUGAGACCUUGUCUCACACACACACACAAAAAGAAAGGGCUGGAAUCUGAGUAGCUGAGGUGCUUAUGUGACUACAUGCCUACAUCACUGACCCCCAAUAAACACCUUGGACACAAGACUCAGGCUGCUUCAUCGAUACUUUCUUAUUUUAUGUUAUGAUGCAUCAAAGUGAACUCUGAUCCCUUCAAACAGAAUCAUUGCUUUCAGAUAAAGAAACCUCAGAUCAAAUAUAAGCAUCAAAAUCUACAAAGAUUUUAGAGGGUGAAGAAACACGGAAAGAUCUCUGGUGAUGGAGCCAGCAUUGAUGAACCAAGAAAAGUCUUAAACGUGAAGAAGCCUGUGAUAAACAAGGUGACUCACCUCAUCAAAUGGAAUAGGGAUCUUCUGGCAAAGCUGCCUGGGUAAACCGCAACUCACAAGGGAUAGAAUUUCACUAAAUUCUUAAGAGGUUACAGACUCUAUUUCUAUCCUUAAAUACACUCAUUAUUUUAUCCCUGGAUAUACCCAAUUAUAGUUUAAACUUAAAUUGAAUAAAAGAUGAUGGGAAUAAUUCUAUUUUUAUUUCAGGACUGUGCCCAGGGGAAUAACAAGGAAGAAAAAUGUCAGAAGAAUUAGUUUCUCUCUAAUUGAACAAAUGUAUUUAUAUUUCCUUGUUGAUAGGCAUAGAUUCUCAAUGAGAAACUGAAACUUAUGAAGUUACAUUUAAGACUCCAGUUGUGACAAUGAUGACCAAUGCUCUUUGGUAUUACGUUUUCCAAUUCAACACAGGAAAUGAGUUGGAAUUUGUUUUGCAGUUUUUUUUUCAGCCUGUUUUGUGGAGUAUUUUUUCCUGUGAUCUGUAGAAACACAAUGAUAACAUUACGAACUUUGCCAGUCAUUGGCCCAUCAAAAAUGUUUGUAUGCUUGAAUGGGCAAGAAAUUACAUUUGAUGGAGUCCCAUGUGCCUCAUUAACUAAAUUUUUCUUUUCGGUUAUUAUUAAAGGACAGUAGGUGGCCAGGCACGAUGGCUCAUUCCUGUAAUCCCAGCAGUUCAGGAGGCCAAGGUGGGCAGAUCAUGAGGUCAGGAGACCAAGACCAUCCUGGCCAACACGGUGAAAUCCCGUCUCUACUAAAAAUACAAAAAUUAGCCAGGUGUGGUGGUGUGUGCCUGUAAUCCCAGCUACUAGGAGGCUGAGGCAGGAGAAUCUCUCUAACCAGGGAUUCGGAGGUUGCAGUGAGCCGAGAUUGCGCCACUACCCUCCAGCCAGGCAAUAGAGCGAGAGUCUGUCUCCAAAAAAAAAAGACUGUAGGUAUGAGAUCAGACGUGACUUUUAACUUUUAACUUUUAACUUUCAUGUUCUUCAUCUUCCAUUCUUGCCACAAAAAGACUGCCGUUUCCUUCUUCACAUUCAAUGUGUCUCAUGGGUCAGAGAAUCUGUGUGGUUACACUCUUAACUAGUACAGCCACUGUUCUUCGACUACUUAAACGCUCUUAUCCUUCCACUCAGUCAUCCAUUUGACCCCAUUUCCUUUAUAUUCUAUGCAGAAUUACAUGUGCAAUUAGGGUUUGUUUUCAUUAUUACUGUUAUUAUUAUAAUCACUAUUUGCCAAUUCUGUUGAUUACCCUUUCCAUUUGUUUUUCAACAAAACUCUCUCUGUACACCAACAACACUGCCUCAAUCUUUUAAUCUACCAGAAAAAAAAUUCAACUCCAUAAGCAAUUGGAUCAAUAAUAGUAGGAAUUCACAAUUUUCAGUCUCAGUGGUUUCCUUCAACAUUAAACUCCUUUUUAUUUUGAUUGUCCAUUACUUCAUAACUUUGAAAUCCUCUUUCAAUUUCUCUAAUGUAAUUUGACCAAGAUUGUGGCUCGCAAGACUGAACUUUUUUGAAAUAUGGACAUGGGGAGUCCCCACAUUUUGCUAGACUACAUCUUGGAGGGUGCUUGGAAAGCAGAAAUGGUGGGAAAUCGUUUUAUUUUCUGUUUGCAAAAGCCACUUUGCAACUUGUGGUUAUCCUAUUCUAUCACCAAGCUCCUGCCUGUAUUUACAGUGGGCUUUGAAGAACCAGCUGCUGAAAGUGAUAAAUCAGCAGCUGAAAAUGAUGAAUGCGAGACUGAUUGGAACUCAAAGUGAAAUAUAGGUGCUUGUCAACAAUGUUAGAUUGGUAACUUGAGGUGGCAAAGAGUGGUGACUGCUGGCAAAAUGUAUGAAUAUAUGUAUUAUAGUAGCAAUUAUACUUGCUUAUUUCAAUGUUUUUGAAGUCUUCUUAUUUAUAGAACAUUCUGGCUUUUUAUUUUGAGGAGCACUGCUAACAAUAAAUCAGAACCAACAUUUAUUGAGUGUCGAUUAUUAUAUCCCAAGUCCAGUACUAGACUGUGGAGCAUUAGCUAUGAAAUGCCUAGUUGUGAUUUCCAAGCACCACUUAUGGAAAAUUAUGAUCUGCUUUUUAUAUUAGUGCAGUAUCGCUAGAUGUAACAGGUAUUCUGGAUUUUAAAACCUAUUUAUAAUGUUUGUUUCUAAUGUGGUUUAUGCUUACUCAAAUGGAAUAUUUUUCAGCUUGUUCCUUUCCAAGUGGUACUUACAUACCUGUUGUUCCUGGAUCUUUCCAUUUUGAUUUUGAUAUAUUCAAGUUGCCAAUGUUCCCUGGUUACUAGUCCAUGUACUGGUCUGUUCAUUUGUACAUAAACAUUUAUACAAGAUGGAAAAGUUGAAGUAAUUUAAAUUUAGUCCAUUAUUUUAUUCCAAUGUGAAUUGUGUGUCACUACACGAUUUCAACGCAAGGUUAUUCAUUGGUUUACCUUCUGCCUUUUUAUGGCUUCCAGGCAUGUUUAAUAUCUGUGAUUAACUGAAUUUUUCAGGUUAACAUCUGCAUUUAAUCACAAGUUAUUACCCAUUUCCUAGACUGGUCAGUGUAACAUUUCAAUCACUCCUUCCUUCUUUCUCCACCCAUGUAGUAAAAGAUUCAAAGUCAGUUAUACUUUCUCUCUUUCACAGCCAUCGAGCUGCACUUAAAUAAUAUUCAAGAAAGUUAUAUUUCUUUUGAAGUGGUCACAGGAAGCAUAUGCUUAGUGUAUAUAAACAGAAAGAGAGUUGAUGCACUGAUUUGGUUGAUUUACAGAGCUCUUGUAUCUACAUGUAAACAUUUUGCCUCAGAGAGAAAUGAAAGGUUCUGUUGGACUCCAAAAGCCACUAGCUCCUGUGUAACAGCACUGAGAUUCAAAGAGCAAGGCUUCUUUGAAUUUCACAUUCCCCUGUUUUUUUUUUUUUUUUUUUUUUAGUCUAGCUCAACAAACUUCUGAGAGUUCCCUGUUUUAGUUUAAAUACUCCUUGUCUCAUUUUCCAAACUCUUUAAUUUUUCAAAGUCAUUUGAUCAUGGAGAAUAAAACCUUAAGGAUUAGCCAUACUCCCGUCUUUUUCCUACUGAACAGAAUCAUUCAAACCAAUUCUUCCAUUUUCUCUGAGUUCUCCAUGAACCUAUCAUAAAUGACUCCAUUUAAGAAAAAACAAUAAUAUGAAAGCAGAACAGCUAAAUGUGUGUUAAUGUCUCGCCACUAUAUUUUUGGCAAACCUUGACCUAAUUCAGGUCAAAAUUAGCGUUUCUUCCCAAACUGAAUAUUUUGUUGGAGAGGGUGGGAGGGGGUAGGAAUAAGCAGCUAUGCUGGGCUUUUAAUUGAUUGGGAACUAAGAUGUGAGCAAUAUUCUCUGUGUUUUCUUCAAGUAUGGGGGAUACUGGACUAUGACUAAAAAUUAUGAAGAGAAUCUAAUACAUUAAAGUGAAUUAGAUAUUCUAAUCAAAUAUAUCUUAUGACUAAGUUGUUUUGACACAUUUAGUGAUCACUAUGAUUAUUGUUCUAGGAAGUUUUUAGGCACGAUAUAUGUAAACGAUCACAUAAUUAUUGCAAUUAAUUUCCCCAUAUGUGUAGUCAAAUAAAACCCUCAUUAUUUUCCUUAAUUCAUUUAAAAGCAACAGAAAUCAUUGUGUGCCCACUAGAUGCAGGGCCUUAAUUGCCCUGAAGUCAGAAGUGGCAUCUUGUUCAUAAUUUUAUCACCAGUGUCAAAUGCAUUGAUUGAUCAUUAGUAGGUACUUAAAGUUCAUACAAAAAUGAAUAAUAUAUGGAGACUGCAAUAAAGAAUAUUUAAAAUUUCCUUUUCUAG